rnacentral:rRNA from 2 species
UUAAGUUAUUAAGGGCGCACGGUGGAUGCCUUGGCACUAGAAGCCGAUGAAGGACGUUACUAACGACGAUAUGCUUUGGGGAGCUGUAAGUAAGCUUUGAUCCAGAGAUUUCCGAAUGGGGAAACCCAGCAUGAGUUAUGUCAUGUUAUCGAUAUGUGAAUACAUAGCAUAUCAGAAGGCACACCCGGAGAACUGAAACAUCUUAGUACCCGGAGGAAGAGAAAGAAAAUUCGAUUCCCUUAGUAGCGGCGAGCGAAAUGGGAAGAGCCCAAACCAACAAGCUUGCUUGUUGGGGUUGUAGGACACUCUAUACGGAGUUACAAAGGACGACAUUAGACGAAUCAUCUGGAAAGAUGAAUCAAAGAAGGUAAUAAUCCUGUAGUCGAAAAUGUUGUCUCUCUUGAGUGGAUCCUGAGUACGACGGAGCACGUGAAAUUCCGUCGGAAUCUGGGAGGACCAUCUCCUAAGGCUAAAUACUCUCUAGUGACCGAUAGUGAACCAGUACCGUGAGGGAAAGGUGAAAAGCACCCCGGAAGGGGAGUGAAAUAGAACCUGAAACCGUGUGCUUACAAGUAGUCAGAGCCCGUUAAUGGGUGAUGGCGUGCCUUUUGUAGAAUGAACCGGCGAGUUACGAUUUGAUGCAAGGUUAAGCAGUAAAUGUGGAGCCGUAGCGAAAGCGAGUCUGAAUAGGGCGUUUAGUAUUUGGUCGUAGACCCGAAACCAGGUGAUCUACCCUUGGUCAGGUUGAAGUUCAGGUAACACUGAAUGGAGGACCGAACCGACUUACGUUGAAAAGUGAGCGGAUGAACUGAGGGUAGCGGAGAAAUUCCAAUCGAACCUGGAGAUAGCUGGUUCUCUCCGAAAUAGCUUUAGGGCUAGCCUCAAGUGAUGAUUAUUGGAGGUAGAGCACUGUUUGGACGAGGGGCCCCUCUCGGGUUACCGAAUUCAGACAAACUCCGAAUGCCAAUUAAUUUAACUUGGGAGUCAGAACAUGGGUGAUAAGGUCCGUGUUCGAAAGGGAAACAGCCCAGACCACCAGCUAAGGUCCCAAAAUAUAUGUUAAGUGGAAAAGGAUGUGGCGUUGCCCAGACAACUAGGAUGUUGGCUUAGAAGCAGCCAUCAUUUAAAGAGUGCGUAAUAGCUCACUAGUCGAGUGACACUGCGCCGAAAAUGUACCGGGGCUAAACAUAUUACCGAAGCUGUGGAUUGUCCUUUGGACAAUGGUAGGAGAGCGUUCUAAGGGCGUUGAAGCAUGAUCGUAAGGACAUGUGGAGCGCUUAGAAGUGAGAAUGCCGGUGUGAGUAGCGAAAGACGGGUGAGAAUCCCGUCCACCGAUUGACUAAGGUUUCCAGAGGAAGGCUCGUCCGCUCUGGGUUAGUCGGGUCCUAAGCUGAGGCCGACAGGCGUAGGCGAUGGAUAACAGGUUGAUAUUCCUGUACCACCUAUAAUCGUUUUAAUCGAUGGGGGGACGCAGUAGGAUAGGCGAAGCGUGCGAUUGGAUUGCACGUCUAAGCAGUAAGGCUGAGUAUUAGGCAAAUCCGGUACUCGUUAAGGCUGAGCUGUGAUGGGGAGAAGACAUUGUGUCUUCGAGUCGUUGAUUUCACACUGCCGAGAAAAGCCUCUAGAUAGAAAAUAGGUGCCCGUACCGCAAACCGACACAGGUAGUCAAGAUGAGAAUUCUAAGGUGAGCGAGCGAACUCUCGUUAAGGAACUCGGCAAAAUGACCCCGUAACUUCGGGAGAAGGGGUGCUCUUUAGGGUUAACGCCCAGAAGAGCCGCAGUGAAUAGGCCCAAGCGACUGUUUAUCAAAAACACAGGUCUCUGCUAAACCGUAAGGUGAUGUAUAGGGGCUGACGCCUGCCCGGUGCUGGAAGGUUAAGAGGAGUGGUUAGCUUCUGCGAAGCUACGAAUCGAAGCCCCAGUAAACGGCGGCCGUAACUAUAACGGUCCUAAGGUAGCGAAAUUCCUUGUCGGGUAAGUUCCGACCCGCACGAAAGGCGUAACGAUUUGGGCACUGUCUCAACGAGAGACUCGGUGAAAUCAUAGUACCUGUGAAGAUGCAGGUUACCCGCGACAGGACGGAAAGACCCCGUGGAGCUUUACUGUAGCCUGAUAUUGAAAUUCGGCACAGCUUGUACAGGAUAGGUAGGAGCCUUUGAAACGUGAGCGCUAGCUUACGUGGAGGCGCUGGUGGGAUACUACCCUAGCUGUGUUGGCUUUCUAACCCGCACCACUUAUCGUGGUGGGAGACAGUGUCAGGCGGGCAGUUUGACUGGGGCGGUCGCCUCCUAAAAGGUAACGGAGGCGCUCAAAGGUUCCCUCAGAAUGGUUGGAAAUCAUUCAUAGAGUGUAAAGGCAUAAGGGAGCUUGACUGCGAGACCUACAAGUCGAGCAGGGUCGAAAGACGGACUUAGUGAUCCGGUGGUUCCGCAUGGAAGGGCCAUCGCUCAACGGAUAAAAGCUACCCCGGGGAUAACAGGCUUAUCUCCCCCAAGAGUUCACAUCGACGGGGAGGUUUGGCACCUCGAUGUCGGC